UUUAACAAGAGAUUAGAGAUUUGGGGGUGUCCCAAUCUGACGUCGGUUCCCGAAGGGAUGAGUCAACUCACCUCUUUACAGACCCUGAAUAUUUGUGGUUGUCCCCAAUUAGAGCAAAGAUGUGAGAAGGAAAAUGGAGAGGAUUGGGCCAAUAUUUCUCACUUCCCUGAAAGAACAAGAGGAUUUCAAAUGGGAGAAUCACAGAGAUUUAAGCCAAGCUUGAGCAAUUUUCUUGCACACGAAAGGACGGAGACGCACACCUUGCUGCUUUAGGGAAGCGCUCAGAGGGAAGAAGACAGCAAGAGGGAAAUCACUGUGAUCGUGGCAUGUACUGUAGGAGAAGAUGGAGACGUCAUUAUGGAUUUAGAGCAAAUGGAUGAGCUAGAAGAAGAAAUAGUUUGAAGCACAAAGCAAACUUUGAAAGGGUGCCAGCAGGAAACAGGGGGCAAUUGGUAAAAAUUGCUCACCUAGAGUUUGGAGGGAAUGAACCUGUCCAUCAGAGUUGGUGCUUAUUCAAAAGUUUAGGGCUCUGUAAUUGUGCAACAAGCCAGCUAUUGAAGCAUGGGUAAAUUAAGGUAAUUUUAGCUGUACAUAAGAAAUUACUGUGAAAUCUGCCGGAGCUGCUGCCAUGGAUUGUGUACAAGAAGUUGAAGAAGAAAUAUAACAUCACCAGCAUGAAGCUGCUUAAACUUGGGCUGAUUCUAUAAAUGGCUGGGAGCUACUCCCUAUGCAUUCAAGUGCAAGAUAUGCACAUUAUAUUACAAACAUUGGUUCCACGCAGAAACCUUCUAAUACAAGUUUCAUCGUGGGAGGUGAAUAUAAGAAACAAGACGGUCUGCAACAUCAUUUCAAAGUUUCUUGAAUUAUUGGGCUUUGAUGAUUUAAUUGGUUUCAAAAGUGAUGGGGAAAAAGAAUGUCAUGAUAUUGAUGAGCCAAGCUUGUGGUAUGGGAGGAGGAUUGGGUUCAAAGAUGAUUGGAUUUGCAGAGAAGACAGCCCUCAUGAGUCAUGACUGUAAUCAUGUUUGGAAGCAAGGGUGUGUUGAGUUAUAUACUAGAAACCAGUUGCAUUGAUGUUAACAAGGCUUGUGGUUUGGAUGGGCUUUUGCACUACAUUUUGUUGCUGAUGUGGACAUUGCCAUUUCAACUGAGCUUACUAAGCUCUUGCUUGAUCCUUCUGCACUUCAAUGUCUUGUUGCAUACUGUUGACUAUGUACAGUACACCUUGUUCGUUUUAUUCUUGCUGUUUCUUUGCUCUGUAGUAAUUGUAUUUAAAUAAAUAUAGUGUAAUAGAACAUAUAUAUAUUUGGUGUGGAUGUUGAUUUCUAUAAUCAUGCAUUUUGGAUA